rnacentral:rRNA from 1 species
GAUGAACGCUAGCGGCAGGCUUAAUACAUGCAAGUCGUGGGGCAGCAGGUUUGUAGCAAUACAGAUGCUGGCGACCGGCAAACGGGUGCGGAACACGUACAGAACCUUCCUUUGAGCGGGGAAUAGCCCAGAGAAAUUUGGAUUAAUACCCCAUAGUAUAAUGAAGUGGCAUCACUUUAUUAUUAAAGAUUUAUCACUCGAAGAUGGCUGUGCGGCUGAUUAGGUAGUUGGCGGGUAAAGGCCCACCAAGCCUGCGAUCAGUAACUGGUGUGAGAGCACGACCAGUCACACGGGCACUGAGACACGGGCCCGACUCCUACGGGAGCAGCAGUAAGGAAUAUUGGUCAAUGGAGGCAACUCUGAACCAGCCAUGCCGCGUGGAGGAUGAAGGUCCUCUGGAUUGUAAACUUCUUUUAUAUGGGUACGAAAAAAGGCUUUUCUAAGUCGUCUGACGGUACCAUAUGAAUAAGCACCGGCUAAC